GACGAACGCUGGCGGCGUGCUUAACACAUGCAAGUCGAACGGAAAGGCCCUGCUUUUGUGGGGUGCUCGAGUGGCGAACGGGUGAGUAACACGUGAGUAACCUGCCCUUGACUUUGGGAUAACUUCAGGAAACUGGGGCUAAUACCGGAUAGGAGCUCCUGCUGCAUGGUGGGGGUUGGAAAGUUUCGGCGGUUGGGGAUGGACUCGCGGCUUAUCAGCUUGUUGGUGGGGUAGUGGCUUACCAAGGCUUUGACGGGUAGCCGGCCUGAGAGGGUGACCAGCCACCUUGGGACUGAGAUACGGCCCAGACUGCUACGGGAGGCAGCAGUGAGGGAUGUUGCACAAUGGGCGGAAGCCUGAUGCAGCAACGCCGCGUGCGGGAUAACGGCCUUCGGGUUGUAAACCGCUUUCGCCUGUGACGAAGCGUGAGUUACGGUAAUGGGUAAAGAAGCACCGGCUAACUACGUG
rnacentral:rRNA from 1 species